rnacentral:rRNA from 1 species
GUGCAGCAGUCGAGAAUCCUCCACAAUACACGAAAGUGUGACGGGGCCAUCCCGAGUGCCGUCCGCUGAGGACGGCUUUUCCCCAGUGUACAUAGCUGGGGGAAUAAGGAGAGGGCAAGCCUGGUGUCAGCCGCCGCGGUAAUACCAGCUCUCCGAGUGGUGGGGACGCUUAUUGGGCCUAAAGCAUCCGUAGCCGGCUGGGCAAGUCCUCCGUUAAAUCCAACGAUUCAAUCGUUGGGCUGCGGGGGAUACUGUCCAGCUUGGGGGCGGGAGAGGCCGACGGUAUUCCCGGGGUAGGGUGAAAAUCCGUAUAAGUCCCGGGAGGACCACCAGUGGCGAAGGCUGUCGGCUAGAACGCGCCGACGGUGAGGGAUGAAAGCUAGGGGAGCGAACCGGGAUUAGAUACCCGUGUA